AGCUCGUUUCCUGCUGUCCUGAAAGCCUUUCGUCUCACAGAUGCCAUUCCCGGCUUCACCGUGCUGUGGCCUUGGAUGAGUCACUUCUCUCAAGGUCUCAGUUUCUUUCUCAGAAAUGGGAAGAUGCCUGCCCCGCCUUCUUCACAGCCCCCAAGAGGAUGUUUGGUAAUAAAGUAGUUUCAGAAGUAUAUGCAGGCACACGUGAGUCUUACUGUAAUAACGGGUAUUUAUGGUCAUUAUUUUACCUCCUUUGAGGCCUCCUGUGGCUCAGCAGAGGCAGAGGAGGAAAAAGCGUUUCCCCCAAGCCGGGCCUCCCAGACCUGGAGCUGAAUCCAGAGGUCUGCUGCAAUAUGAAUAUGUCAGAAGUCCGUGAGCCUGAAGCACGAAAUAAUAUUCCAUCGUCUGAAUGUACUACGACGUAUUUAUUCACCUCCCGAAGGACAUCUUAUUUGCUUCCAAGUUUCGGCAGUGGUGAAUACAGCAGCUAUAAACAUCCGUGUGCAGGCAAAUUCUACCUGCCCUGUUCCACCUGGCAUCCCCUCCCUACCUGUAGCCUGGAAACUCUCUGAAGAUAGCGAGCCUGGACAAUCAUCGGGA